rnacentral:rRNA from 1 species
UACAGAGGGUGCGAGCGUUAAUCGGAAUUACUGGGCGUAAAGGGUGCGUAGGUUGCGAUGUAAGUCAAAUGUGAAAGCCCCGGGCUUAACCUGGGAACUGCAUAUGAAACUGCAUAGCUAGAGUAUGGUAGGGGGAAGUGGAAUUUCCGGUGUAGCGGUGAAAUGCGUAGAUAUCGGAAGGAACACCAACGGCGAAGGCAACUUCCUGGACCAAGACUGACACUGAGGCACGAAAGCGUGGGUAGCAAACAGG